rnacentral:rRNA from 1 species
AGAGUUUGAUCCUGGCUCAGAACGAACGCUGGCGGCGUGCUUAAGACAUGCAAGUCGAACGGUAAGGCCCCCUUCGGGGGGCACACGAGUGGCGCACGGGUGAGUAACGCGUGGGCAAUCUACCCUCGGGUUUGGGACAACUCCGGGAAACUGGAGCUAAUACCAGAUAAGACCACGGAGUCUUCGGGCUCUGUGGAAAAAGAUGGCCUCUUCUCGAAAGCUAUCGCCCGUCGAUGAGCCUGCGUGCCAUUAGCUUGUUGGUGGGGUAACGGCUCACCAAGGCGACGAUGGUUAGCUGGUCUGAGAGGAUGAUCAGCCACACUGGAACUGAGACACGGUCCAGACUCCUACGGGAGUCAGCAGUCGGGAAUCUUGGGCAAUGGGCGAAAGCCUGACCCAGCAACGCCGCGUGAGGGAUGAAGGCCCUCGGGUCGUAAACCUCUGUCGGGAGGGAAGAACGGCAUCCAUUCAAAUAGGGUGGGUGAUUGACGGUACCUCCAAAGGAAGCGCCGGCUAACUCCGUGCCAGCAGCCGCGGUAAUACGGAGGGCGCAAGCGUUGUUCGGAAUUAUUGGGCGUAAAGCGCGUGUAGGUGGUCUGGAAAGUUGGAUGUGAAAGCCCGGGGCCCAACCCCGGAAUUGCAUUCAAAACUUCCAGACUAGAGUCCCGGAGAGGAAGGCGGAAUUCCCGGUGUAGAGGUGAAAUUCGUAGAUAUCGGGAGGAACACCAGUGGCGAAGGCGGCCUUCUGGACGGUGACUGACACUGAGACGCGAAAGCGUGGGGAGCAAACAGGAUUAGAUACCCUGGUAGUCCACGCCGUAAACGUUGUGUGCUAGGUGUCGCGGGUAUUGACCCCUGCGGUGCCGACGUUAACGCAUUUAGCACACCGCCUGGGGAGUACGGUCGCAAGGCUAAAACUCAAAUGAAUUGACGG